UGUCCCUGGCCAUGGCGCAUCAAAGUUUAUUCCCCUGGUAGUUCUGGAAUCUCAAUCCGAACACCCAGGAAUAAAUUCCACUCUGCUCAAACCAGAAAGAGUGGAUUCUGGUGUCUGCGACUAAUCACUGCGACUGGAUACAAAUUCAGAUUCUGAAAUCACCUCUAUUGUGUUUUCUCGUGUGGAAGAAAUACAGAAAAGCUUAAGAAAAACAAGUAUAAAUCAUCUGCAAUCCCACCACCUGGAGCCUGUGGUGGUGUCUGCAUAUAUAAAGAAGUAGUCACCUCUUCCAGUAUUUAUGGACAGGAUUUGGGAAGAAAAGACCUUCAUCAGACAGCCUGCCUAAAGAUUCUGGAUAUCUCUCAAACCUUUUCUAUGGACCACUCCACUUCCACUACAUUCUGGGGAGCUGCUCUCCGAUGAUCCAAGCCAUACCAAUUUCCUCAGUGCUCUAAUGUGCCAAGUGUGACUGAUGUUGGAUUUUGUGGUCCACUGGGGUGCUGAUACCUUCAACUGAACUCCAGAGCUCUCACAAAGUAACGGAUCGAAGGCUGGACAUGUGACCUGGGCCCAGCAAACCCAUGCCAGGACUUGCCACAGAACUUUUGUGAACGAGAACCUCUAUUCCCUUGGGGAGCUGUUGGGGCUACCACCCGCAACAAACUGACUAGACAGUGAGGCCAACAUGGAAAGCAGAGGGCGAAGGUAGCUCCUGAUGACACAACGGCCUUCAAAUGCAUCAUCUCCUGGGAUCCGCGGAGGGACAGGUGGCCGGGUCAAGGUCACACGGGCUACUGAGGCACAGCAGACCUGCGGACAAAGGUCUUCCUACUACAACCCCGGGUUUGACGCAUCACCAGAGGCAGGUUUCCUCAGGAGCCACGGAGGCUGAAGCCGCAGGGCCCUCACUUGUGUGACCCUUUCUUAGAUCUGACACGUAAUUCUGGGUUCUUUUUCUUAAAAAGUGCCACCCAAAAAUAUAUAAGUUCUACGCUCUAGGCCCACAAGGCAUGGAUCAGCCCCAAUCCCCAGCCACACCCGAGGCUGUUUUCCCAUUCCUUUCUCCCCAUCUUUCAAGAACCCCAAACCCACAGGGCGUUGUCACAGACUUGAAAUAGCUACUCAAAGCCUCUGCUGCCAGAACGUCUCUGCU